UUGAACGCUGGCGGAAUGCUUUACACAUGCAAGUCGAGCGGCAGCGCGGGGGCAACCCUGGCGGCGAGCGGCGAACGGGUGAGUAACACAUCGGAACGUACCCAGUUGUGGGGGAUAGCCCGGCGAAAGCCGGAUUAAUACCGCAUACGACCUGAGGGUGAAAGGGGGGGAUCGCAAGACCUCUCGCAGUUGGAGCGGCCGAUGGCGGAUUAGCUAGUUGGUGGGGUAAAGGCCUACCAAGGCGACGAUCCGUAGCUGGUCUGAGAGGACGACCAGCCACACUGGAACUGAGACACGGUCCAGACUCCUACGGGAGGCAGCAGUGGGGAAUUUUGGACAAUGGGGGCAACCCUGAUCCAGCCAUUCCGCGUGAGUGAAGAAGGCCUUCGGGUUGUAAAGCUCUUUCGGCAGGAACGAAACGGUGGAGGCUAAUACCUUUCAUCAAUGACGGUACCUGAAGAAGAAGCACCGGCUAACUACGU
rnacentral:rRNA from 1 species